rnacentral:rRNA from 1 species
UAUAACCCGGUGAGGGGUAGGGGAGGGAGCGAAGAAGGGUAGUGUGCGAGGUAAAGGCUUCUUUUGUCUCGUGUCUUUUUCUUUCCUAAAACUAAACGAGAGCACGCGGACGCCGCAGCAGGUGUUGCGGUUAGACCCGUCGUGAGGUAGGAGAGAUGUAUUCGCCGAGGGGAGGUGGUAGGGGAAGGAAAGGAGAAGGCGGAGGGAGAGGACCGGCGGCGGAGACGGGGGGGAGGGCGACGGCGCCGCGGCGUCGGGUCGCAGCGGCGGCUGCGUAGGCUAAGGAGGGCGGCGGAGGCGGCGAGGGCAAGAACCGGCGGCGGCGGGGGAGCAGUCGUUAGAGCCUGUAAGGAAAAGCUCAGCACUAAGUCGACCAGUCUAUUUUGGGACCACACUAAGGAGACUUCAAAUCGUAACAGCGACGAAACUCUUCUUUGUUGAAAUAGAGAAACAUCUCGUGACCUUUUACCUAGCGUCUCUAUGAAGUCCCAAACAGUCACCACCAACGUUUCUAUUGAACAUGACGAUUUACGGAAUCCAAAAGAUUGAACCAUCAAAGCAACUGGUAAUAAAUUGGGCCUUCACUCCGUUCGAACCCGUGACUCUUGCUACCUGGGGUCCGGGCCUGUCAGUCGUAAAUGAUAUUCAAAGAGUUUAGGCUUCCGGUAACACUCGUUCAAGGGACAGCAGGGGCAUCGGUCAGUGGGGCGUCUGUCAUUAUCAGUUGAACUACACGUUCGAGUGCUAAUAAACAUGUUGGUUGGUUCUCCUUGGUUCUCUUUCAAGCUACCGAACAGCGAACCGGACCCGUUGAGUAGUUUGAGUCUAAGGUCGUUCGUUUCAUACGCACGACCGACGUGGUAUAGAAGAGGAUUCCCAUCACUACUUCCAAGAAGACAACUAAACCCGAAUUUAAUAGAAUGCGACCCGUUACUUCCAUGAAGGUCCGACCUAUUCGUCCGAUCACUAAAAUCCUCUUGAAGCCGCUUCCGACCCAACCUAGAACUCAAUAGAAACAGACAACCUGGUACAGUUAGACGAUAAUGACCGGUUCUGGAUUGAAGUCGUUGGUUUGUCUUGUUGGGUAAAGACGUCGGUAUGUAAUACCUGAACCAGGGUUCUCAACUGCUUCCAAGAUGUAGAGAAGUAGCUGGCAGACCACCAGUCAAGGAAUUAAAGGAAUUAUUCUGACGUUCCUACUGACCCAAAAGAGGUUCCGUUCAAAAUAGUCCGUCGAGAUUGGUCUCAGUCCCAGGUCGAAGUGACGGUUGUAACGAGGUUGAUGUUCUUUCAGGUCGUUGGACAUGAAGGCCCAGACAAUCAGGUGUUGUAGCGUAGUCGUCGUGUUUUCAAACAAGUAUGGGUCCUACAUCUUUUCCCCGGUCUCCAAGCAGUCCCGCGACGUAACGUGUACCACCCCCCUCUUCCACGGCAUCUCUCCCUACGUUGUUUCCGCGGCUCCCGUUCUGGUAGAUGACAUUUCGAGUACCUCCCCCUGCCGCGACACCCGUGGAACCCACGUGGUUCUCGCGACUUCCGGCAUGACUAAAGACGUAUCCGGUACCGCCACCAGCCGCAACAUAGGUGCUGCCGACGUCUUCUCGUCGUUCUCCCUUUAGACCGGCGACGUAGUUUGUACCACCACCUUUUUCCACGGUCGUCCUCUUGACGUGUUUCUCACGCCUUCCUGCAAGUCCGAAUACGUAACGGGUACCUCCGCCUGGAGCGACAGUCGUACGACCAACGUGCUUCCCACGUGUCCCUUCAUGACUAAAGACGUUUAGCGUACCACCACCGUCUUCUACGUGCGUGGGACUGACAUGUUUCCCACGACUCCCUUCGUGCGGUAAGACGUUUCCCGUACCUCCUCCGUUUGCAACAAGCCGAGUUCCGACGUGUUUUACACACGUGCCUCCAUGUGUCAAGACGCAACGCGUACCUCCACCGUUCUCCACGCACCACCUUCCUACGUGGUUCUCGCGGUCCCCAGCAUGGCUAGCGACGCAACCAGUACCACCCCCGUUCUCUACGCAUAGACAACCCACACUAUUCUCGCGUGUCCCUUCGUGGCUGAAGACGUUCCGUGUACCUCCUCCGUUCGCAACGUGGACCCCAGUAGGACCGAGGCUAGAACCUCAACCGUCGGGAGGGACACUAGCGGAACGAUCUCCGUUCUUUCCGUACACACAGGUAGUGUUGGGCGAGGACCUGCUACUGGCAUAGGUGCCGCCGGCUUGCGACCGCCGAAAGUCGUAAUGUUCGUCGCGACGAAGGGAACUAGCAGCCUCGGUGGGACGUUUGAGCCUUUGGUCGUCCGCGUCGUAGAGGUGGUACGAAGGUCACCUCCGAGGGCCAGCACGCGGAGAAGGACUCCCGGCCCACGUGCCGCCAUUGUAGCACAGUAACAAACGAUUACCAGACUCGAAGCCCCUCUUGAGGUCGUUGUUGCGGCUCCAGUCAUGGAGUCGCGGAGCGUCGAAGUUUGGACGGUUCCUUAAGUCGCGGAGACCAGCGUCGUCGACCGAGAUCGCGGGUUCCGAAAGGAGGGCGGGCUGGAGGCAAAGCUGUGCCAAGCAAAGCAGACCGUUCACAGAGGACGAGGACGGGAGACCACACUUCUUUCCGGCGCCAUACUAACACACUUCACAAACAACAGAAUGAAUACCUAAACAUACAUAAUUGACGGGGAGACAUUCUAUCUAUAUUUAUUUUCCCCAACCCACAGCUUCACAAUUAAUUAAAAUCCAGAACACAACUUCCACACAAGCAUCAUGUCACCAGAUGUCAAUACGUACUUCUUAAUCGGGACAUACUCUAAGGAGGGUAGUCACCAGAUGUCAAUAUGUUGUAAACCCACAUCAUUUAUAACCACAACGACGACAACAUAUGUUUGUAUAUAACCCCCGCGAACACACACACUUCAAGCAAGACAGGUAGACUUAUUAUUCUUUCAAUACCAACACUACCAACAACAUAGAGAG